CCAAGUGGGCCAAGAGGUAAGGGGCUGUUGGCUAAUAGCUGAUGGCUUAUACCCUAUCGAACUUAUACUGGGCAGCGCGGCUGCCUUUCUGACCAUAUUAAGGCAAUUGCGAUUUCCGAAGCGGGCAAUUAAAAGCCAAAGUCAAAGCUAAAGCUGAGACUGAGACUGAGAACAUUUGCAUAAGCAAUUGAGCGACAUGGCAGGUGGAGCAGGGGCAUUAUUCACGCUCAAAUGGGAUUAGAGUUGGAACCCCUCUUGGUCACGCCCAUAUAUUUUUGGACGUGAUUAUAAAACAAACAUUCAAAAGUGACGUUUGUUGUUUAAUUAUGGCUCGCUUAUUCAUGUUUUUUGCUUUGGGAGUCGUCGUCGUUCGCAGAUUAAGCUGUCAGCAAAGAAACACAACAUUUUUGGCCACUUUGUCACUUCGCACGCAAAUCAAAUUAAUGUUGCAUGCGUUACUUUUCCACUCUCCUUAAAACGUGUGACGACCUUGUGCCAUGAAAAAUGUAUGCUUUCUGGGCAGUAAAAAAAAAAGAGAAUUAUAAUCAAAUUUAACUGUUGUCAUCAUGAUUUAUUUACUUAAGAACAAAACACGACAAACGAUGACGAACUCGCCUUCAGACAGAAGCACAAAGAUAAAUUAUUCACCAGUCAGUCAGUCACAGAGUCGAUCGGUCUAUUGCCCGAAGUCAUUUAUUCAAAAGUGCUCAUAUAUAUGAGUAUAUCGGAGUAUAUCGGGGCAAACUCGAGAUUUAAGCCGGGUAUGUCGUCAUAGCCACAAUAAUGAGAAAACAACUUGUUUUGCCUGCAGGAGCAAAUCCAUUUUGCAAUUAUUUCUCUGUUGUCAGUUAAUUAUAAUUACUUGUGAAGCAACAAAAUGCAAGCAAAAAAAGCUAAACAACUAUGUCUGUAAACAAUAUUCUUUGUUCAAAAAAAAAAGCUACAAAAUCGGAUUCGAACAACUGAAUUGUGACUUUGAAAUCAGCUUAGCAAUUUGAAAUUAGACGCGAUGUGAAAACAACUUGAGAAGUGCACACACCCAAUUCAUCAACUGAAACUGAUCGAAACAAAUUAGAAUAAAUUAUGAAAUCCAAAUAAAAUUGCCAGAACUUCGACUAUCCGAUA